UACGUAGGGGGCAAGCGUUGUCCGGAAUCAUUGGGCGUAAAGCGCGUGUAGGCGGCUCGGUAAGUCUGCUGUGAAAGUCCAGGGCUCAACCCUGGGAUGCCGGUGGAUACUGUCGAGCUCGAGUCCGGAAGAGGCGAGUGGAAUUCCUGGUGUAGCGGUGAAAUGCGUAGAUAUCGAGAGGAACACCUGCGGCGAAGGCGGGUAGCUGGGCCGACACUGACGCUGAAGCGCGAAAGCUAGGGGAGCGAACGGG
rnacentral:rRNA from 1 species